rnacentral:rRNA from 1 species
GGGGAAUUUUACGCAAUGGGGGAAACCCUGACGUAGCGACACCGCGUGAGCGAAGAAGCCCUUUGGGGUGUAAAGCUCUGUCAACAGGAACGAAACAAAUGACGGUACCUGUGGAGGAAGCAUCGGCUAACUACGUGCCAGCAGCCGCGGUAAGACGUAGGAUGCAAGCGUUGUCCGGAUUUAUUGGGCGUAAAGAGUUCGUAGGCGGUUUGUUAAGUCUGAUGUUAAAGACCGGGGCUCAACCUCGGAAAUGCAUUGGAUACUGGCAGACUGGAGUGCAGUAGAGGCUAGUGGAAUUCCCAGUGUAGCGGUGAAAUGCGUAGAUAUUGGGAAGAACACCGGUGGCGUAGGCGACUAGCUGGGCUGUAACUGACGCUGAGGAACGAAAGCCAGGGGAGCAAAUG